UGGGGAAUAUUGCACAAUGGGCGCAAGCCUGAUGCAGCCAUGCCGCGUGUGUGAAGAAGGCCUUCGGGUUGUAAAGCACUUUCAGCGAGGAGGAAGGGUAGUGUGUUAAUAGCACAUUGCAUUGACGUUACUCGCAGAAGAAGCACCAGCUAACUCCGUGCCAGCAGCCGCGGUAAUACGGAGGGUGCAAGCGUUAAUCGGAAUUACUGGGCGUAAAGCGCACGCAGGCGGUUUGUUAAGUCAGAUGUGAAAUCCCCGCGCUUAACGUGGGAACUGCAUUUGAAACUGGCAAGCUAGAGUCUUGUAGAGGGGGGUAGAAUUCCAGGUGUAGCGGUGAAAUGCGUAGAGAUCUGGAGGAAUACCGGUGGCGAAGGCGGCCCCCUGGACAAAGACUGACGCUCAGGUGCGAAAGCGUGGGGAGCAAACA
rnacentral:rRNA from 1 species